GACGAACGCUGGCGGCGUGCUUAACACAUGCAAGUCGAACGAUGACGACCGAGCUUGCUCGGUCUGAUUAGUGGCGAACGGGUGAGUAACACGUGAGCAACCUGCCCUUCACUCUGGGAUAACCUCGGGAAAUCGGGGCUAAUACCGGAUAUGAGCUCCUGUCGCAUGGCGGGUGUUGGAAAGUUUUUCGGUGAAGGAUGGGCUCGCGGCCUAUCAGUUUGUUGGUGAGGUAGUGGCUCACCAAGGCGAUGACGGGUAGCCGGCCUGAGAGGGCGACCGGCCACACGGGGACUGAGACACGGCCCAGACUCCUACGGGAGGCAGCAGUGGGGAAUAUUGCACAAUGGGCGAAAGCCUGAUGCAGCGACGCCGCGUGAGGGAUGACGGCCUUCGGGUUGUAAACCUCUUUCAGCAGGGAAGAAGCGAAAGUGACGGUACCUGCAGAAGAAGCGCCGGCUAACUACG
rnacentral:rRNA from 1 species